ACCUACGGGGGGCAGCAGUGGGGAAUAUUGCACAAUGGGGGAAACCCUGAUGCAGCGACGCCGCGUGAGUGAAGAAGUAUCUCGGUACGUAAAGCUCUAUCAGCAGGGAAGAAAAUGACGGUACCUGACUAAGAAGCCCCGGCUAACUACGUGCCAGCAGCCGCGGUGAUACGUAGGGGGCAAGCGUUAUCCGGAUUUACUGGGUGUAAAGGGAGCGUAGACGGCAUUGCAAGUCUGAUGUGAAAGAUUGGGGCCCAACCCCAGGCCUGCAUUGGAAACUGUAAAGCUGGAGUACAGGAGAGGUA
rnacentral:rRNA from 1 species